GGUUAUGUCUCAGGGGUAGAGCACUUGCCUAGCACGUGAGAGGCCCUGGGUUCGAUCCUCAGCACCA
rnacentral:tRNA from 1 species